rnacentral:rRNA from 1 species
CUGGCGGCGUGCCUAAUACAUGCAAGUCGAACGCUUCUUUUCCCACCGGAGCUUGCUCCACCGGGAAAAGAGGAGUGGCGAACGGGUGAGUAACACGUGGGUAACCUGCCCAUCAGAAGGGGAUAACACUUGGAAACAGGUGCUAAUACCGUAUAACAAUCGAAACCGCAUGGUUUCGUUUUGAAAGGCGCUUUACGGUGCCGCUGAUGGAUGGACCCGCGGUGCAUUAGCUAGUUGGUGAGGUAACGGCUCACCAAGGCCACGAUGCAUAGCCGACCUGAGAGGGUGAUCGGCCACAUUGGGACUGAGACACGGCCCAAACUCAUACGGGAGGCAGCAGUAGGGAAUCUUCGGCAAUGGACGAAAGUCUGACCGAGCAACGCCGCGUGAGUGAAGAAGGUUUUCGGAUCGUAAAACUCUGUUGUUAGAGAAGAACAAGGGUGAGAGUAACUGUUCACCCCUUGACGGUAUCUAACCAGAAAGCCACGGCUAACUACGUGCCAGCAGCCGCGGUAAUACGUAGGUGGCAAGCGUUGUCCGGAUUUAUUGGGCGUAAAGCGAGCGCAGGCGGUUUCUUAAGUCUGAUGUGAAAGCCCCCGGCUCAACCGGGGAGGGUCAUUGGAAACUGGGAGACUUGAGUGCAGAAGAGGAGAGUGGAAUUCCAUGUGUAGCGGUGAAAUGCGUAGAUAUAUGGAGGAACACCAGUGGCGAAGGCGGCUCUCUGGUCUGUAACUGACGCUGAGGCUCGAAAGCGUGGGGAGCAAACAGGAUUAGAUACCCUGGUAGUCCACGCCGUAAACGAUGAGUGCUAAGUGUUGGAGGGUUUCCGCCCUUCAGUGCUGCAGCUAACGCAUUAAGCACUCCGCCUGGGGAGUACGACCGCAAGGUUGAAACUCAAAGGAAUUGACGGGGGCCCGCACAAGCGGUGGAGCAUGUGGUUUAAUUCGAAGCAACGCGAAGAACCUUACCAGGUCUUGACAUCCUUUGACCACUCUAGAGAUAGAGCUUCCCCUUCGGGGGCAAAGUGACAGGUGGUGCAUGGUUGUCGUCAGCUCGUGUCGUGAGAUGUUGGGUUAAGUCCCGCAACGAGCGCAACCCUUAUUGUUAGUUGCCAUCAUUUAGUUGGGCACUCUAGCAAGACUGCCGGUGACAAACCGGAGGAAGGUGGGGAUGACGUCAAAUCAUCAUGCCCCUUAUGACCUGGGCUACACACGUGCUACAAUGGGAAGUACAACGAGUCGCGAAGUCGCGAGGCUAAGCUAAUCUCUUAAAGCUUCUCUCAGUUCGGAUUGUAGGCUGCAACUCGCCUACAUGAAGCCGGAAUCGCUAGUAAUCGCGGAUCAGCACGCCGCGGUGAAUACGUUCCCGGGCCUUGUACACACCGCCCGUCACACCACGAGAGUUUGUAACACCCGAAGUCGGUGAGGUAACCUUUUUGGAGCCAGCCGCCUAAGGUGGGAUAGAUGAUUGGGG